CUACGUAGGGUGCGAGCGUUGUCCGGAAUUACUGGGCGUAAAGAGCUCGUAGGUGGUUUGUCGCGUCGUCUGUGAAAUUCCGGGGCUUAACUCCGGGCGUGCAGGCGAUACGGGCAUAACUUGAGUACUGUAGGGGAGACUGGAAUUCCUGGUGUAGCGGUGAAAUGCGCAGAUAUCAGGAGGAACACCGGUGGCGAAGGCGGUUCUCUGGGCAGUAACUGACGCUGAGGGGCGAAAGCAUGGGUAGCGAACAGGAUUAGAUACCCUGGUAGUCCAUGCCGUAAACGGUGGGCGCUAGGUGUAGGGGUCUUCCACGACUUCUGUGCCGUAGCUAACGCAUUAAGCGCCCCGCCUGGGGAGUACGGCCGCAAGGCUAAAACUCAAAUGAAUUGACGGGG
rnacentral:rRNA from 1 species